AGUGAACGCUGGCGGUAGGCCUAACACAUGCAAGUCGAACGGCAGCACAGUAAGAGCUUGCUCUUACGGGUGGCGAGUGGCGGACGGGUGAGGAAUACAUCGGAAUCUACUUUUUCGUGGGGGAUAACGUAGGGAAACUUACGCUAAUACCGCAUACGACCUACGGGUGAAAGCAGGGGAUCUUCGGACCUUGCGCGAUUGAAUGAGCCGAUGUCGGAUUAGCUAGUUGGCGGGGUAAAGGCCCACCAAGGCGACGAUCCGUAGCUGGUCUGAGAGGAUGGCCAGCCAAACGGGAACUGGACAACGGUCCGAGCCCCACGGGGGGGCGCCAGUGGGAAAUUUUGGACAAGGGGCGAAGGCCUGACCCAGCCAUCCCGGGGGGGUAAAAAGGGCCUUGGGGUUGUAAAGCCCUUUUGUUGGGAAAAAAAAGCAGCAGAGUAAUCCCCCGCUGUUCGAAGGGAACCCAAAAAAAAGGCCCCGGCUAACUUCGU
rnacentral:rRNA from 1 species